CCUUGUGCAGCUAUAAUUUACUAUGACUGUAGUAAUGCUUGAACCUUGUGGUCCUCAUGUUUCAUAUUUGCUCGUGUUGACUUGGGUUUGACUGGAAGGAGCCAAAUUGGUCAACCAUUAGAGAUGACUGGGUUAGCUUAACUUUCACAGGUUUAGACAGAGCAGAUAUAGAGAACUGGCUGUGUAUGACCGCAUUAAUUCAUCUAAUAUAAUACAAGAUCUCAUGGAUAUAAAACCUCCUACUAUCAUACUUCUGUGUCUGUCAUAGACUUUCAUAAAAUGUUGGUGAUAAAAACUGAACAGUAUGAUAUCAGAGAACUGAAAAAUGGAAGGAUUGCAUAGUUUGUGACCAAUUGCUGGCAAAGGUCAAUAUGAUAUACAUACAUAAAAGCAACUCAAUUCAGUACUGUAACUGAAAUUUUAUCUGAAAGUAAAACAGUGAAGCAGA